AGCUUACUGUAUCACAACUGACGCUGAAGCUCGAAGGCGCGGGUAUCGAACAGGAUUAGAUACCCUGGUAGUCCGCGCGGUAAACGAUGGAUGCUCGCUGUUGGGCUUUAUGUUCAGCGGCCAAGCGAAAGCGUUAAGCAUCCCACCUGGGGAGUACGCCGGCAACGGUGAAACUCAAAGGAAUUGACGGGGGCCCGCACAAGCGGAGGAACAUGUGGUUUAAUUCGAUGAUACGCGAGGAACCUUACCCGGGCUUGAACUGCAGCGGAAGGAUACAGAGAUGUUGACGUCCUUCGGGACCGCUGUGGAGGUGCUGCAUGGUUGUCGUCAGCUCGUGCCGUGAGGUGUCGGCUUAAGUGCCAUAACGAGCGCAACCCUUUUCAUUAGUUGCCAUCAGGUCAUGCUGGGCACUCUGAUGAUACUGCCACCGUAAGGUGUGAGGAAGGUGGGGAUGACGUCAAAUCAGCACGGCCUGACGGGCGGUGUGUACACACCUUUUACAAUGGUUGGUACAGAGAGUCGGUCGUCGCAAAUGCGAUCCAAUCCUUAAAGCCAUCCUCAGUUCGGAUUGGGGUCUGCAACCCACCCCACGAAGCGGAU
rnacentral:rRNA from 1 species